rnacentral:sRNA from 1 species
GCGGCGACAUGGUGAGUGUGGGUCUCUGUGCGGCCUAGAUCUCUAUCUACCUGCAUCUGUCCUUGUUUUCUUCUCCCGCACCCGUCUCCUCUCCUGCCUUGCCCCGUGUUCUCUCCUGUCUCCAUGCCUUUGCAGGAGACACCAUUGUCGGAAGCUCCCCAAGGCAGAGGGGCGGGGGCGCCUUGGCUGGGCCUGGCGCGCUCCAGCCGGGUUAACGCCGGGCCUUCGGAGCGCGCGGCCAGCCCUGGGCACUGGUUUCGUUGGGUUGAAUUUAGGGAAAACUAGGUCAUAUGUAAUUCACAUGUCGGUCACACGUCAGUGAGGUGGAGGAACGGUGUGUGGAGGCUCCGGGGCCUGCCUGGGUUCCAGGUCUAACUAUCACUGGUUUCUCCCUUCACUCUAAACAGGCCAAACGUACCAAGAAAGUCGGGAUCGUCGGUAAAUACGGGACCCGCUAUGGGGCCUCCCUCCGGAAAAUGGUGAAGAAAAUUGAAAUCAGCCAGCACGCCAAGUACACUUGCUCUUUCUGUGGCAAAACCAAGAUGAAGAGACGAGCUGUGGGGAUCUGGCACUGUGGUUCCUGCAUGAAGACAGUGGCUGGCGGUGCCUGGACGUACAAUACCACUUCCGCUGUCACGGUAAAGUCCGCCAUCAGAAGACUGAAGGAGUUGAAAGACCAGUAGACGCUCCUCUACUCUUUGAGACAUCACUGGCCUAUAAUAAAUGGGUUAAUUUAUGUAACAAAA